AAGGGUAGAGCUCAGUGGUAGAGUGUGUGCCUAGCAUGCAUGAGGUCCUGGAUUCAAUCCCCAGUGCCUCCA
rnacentral:tRNA from 1 species